AACUGCCCUCCUGUACAACACUGAUUUGUUCAUCUGGCUCAUGUUCUUUCAUGCAAAGCUGCCGAAAAUUUUAGUUCUUUGUAAGCAUGGCCGCCAAACGCCACGAAAAACUACAGCCUUUUGGAUUCCUUAGAUUCAGGAUUUCGUCAAAAUCCCUCCGUAUCCGAUGGAAAUCAGCAUCAGCAUGGGUGCCGCUCGCAUUGUGCCGGAUUUUGCAUCUAUCAACUUCACAGGGCACUCGGGAUGCCUUCCGUCCGAGUUGGACUUUUGAAUAGCGAAGGAUUUACACCCCCAUCCAGUGGUGAAUAAAAUCACAACGGAGGCCGUGGAGGCAAAGGUUUCGUUGGAAUGAUCGAUUCUGCGAGUGCAGCAGUGGGAGGAUCUACGCUCGCUGAUCAAUUGAUUAAUUGUGUAGUUAUAGUGCUAUUAGUGAAAAAAUUAUAUGUGUUUCGUAAAUAAAAUGAAAGUAUAUAAAAAUCAUAAAA